rnacentral:rRNA from 1 species
AGUUCGGACUGCAGUCUGCAACUCGACUGCACGAAGCUGGAAUCGCUAGUAAUCGCGGAUCAGAAUGCCGCGGUGAAUACGUUCCCGGGUCUUGUACACACCGCCCGUCACACCAUGGGAGUCAGUAACGCCCGAAGUCAGUGACCUAACCGAAAGGGAGGAGCUGCCGAAGGCGGGACGGAUGACUGGGGUGAAGUCGUAACAAGGUACC